GCCAAAAAGAAUGUCACAGGGAAAGGAGAAACACUGCCGGGUCCUAGUUUUCAUUCACCACCUCCAUAUAGAUCAGGGGAGUAUUUGUAUCACAUCUUGCGCUUUUAGUUUAUUAUUGUCCUUCAAUUAUGUUUGUUUAUACUUUUAUUUCAUCUUCACAUUGAGGACAAUGUAUUAUCUAAGUUUGGGGGUCGGUGACAUAAUCUUGGACAUGAACAUCUUUUCUUCAUUUUGCCUAUAUUCAUCAAUAUCUAUGUUUCAUGACUGCAUAUUUUGUGCUUGAUGAGUGUUAAAAAAAUUUGCGUUUUAUUCAAUUUACUGUAUUUCCAUUCUUGCAUGCUUGUAUGGGUUUGAUAGCCUUGCCAGUUAUGAUGUGAUUAUUGGACUGGUAUAAAUUACAAAAUGUGGAUAUGUUGUUGAAUAGAUUAACCAAUACUUAUUGAUGUAAUACUUGACAUUCUUUAUGCAUGCCACUCAUGCUUGACAUGUUAGGUUAAUGAUUGGGGUUUUGAACAUAAAGUAGGAGAAGAAUGAUAAACCUCUACUAAAUCAAAUAGUAAACUACCUUAAGACGGUUUGGAGAUGGUUGAGCAAUCAUAGAAAAGCAUUGAGAUAAGUGGGGGCUCCAUGCAUGAAUUCUAUUGUGUGAAUUGUCUAGAUCAGUGAGAUGAAAAUUAGAUGAAAAACUUAAAUUGGGGGUUAGUUUUGGAGGCCAAAUGUCUAGAAAAAUAAUAAAGGGCAUAAAUCUAACUUGUGAAAACAGAACACCUUUUUCCAUACCUUUAUGAUUCGAGCAAGUAAGCCUGUAAGGAUAUUUCAAAAUCUAGUGCUCUAAAGCCAACUGGUUUGGGAGUCAUCAGCCCAAAGCUCAUUACAUGGGUCAUUUAGAAAGCAAGAGAG
rnacentral:lncRNA from 1 species